rnacentral:rRNA from 1 species
UACGGAGGGGGCUAGCGUUGUUCGGAAUUACUGGGCGUAAAGCGCGCGUAGGCGGCUUUGUAAGUCAGAGGUGAAAUCCCGGGGCUCAACUCCGGAACUGCCUUUGAAACUGUGAAACUUGAGGAUGAGAGAGGUGAGUGGAAUUCCCAGUGUAGAGGUGAAAUUCGUAGAUAUUGGGAAGAACACCGGUGGCGAAGGCGGCUCACUGGCUCAUUUCUGACGCUCAGGCGCGACAGCGUGGGGAUCAAACAGG